rnacentral:rRNA from 1 species
UACACUCCUACGGGAGGCAGCAGUGGGGAAUUUUGGACAAUGGGCGAAAGCCUGAUCCAGCAAUGCCGCGUGUGUGAAGAAGGCCUUCGGGUUGUAAAGCACUUUUGUCCGGAAAGAAAUCCUUGGCUCUAAUACAGUCGGGGGAUGACGGUACCGGAAGAAUAAGCACCGGCUAACUACGUGCCAGCAGCCGCGGUAAUACGUAGGGUGCGAGCGUUAAUCGGAAUUACUGGGCGUAAAGCGUGCGCAGGCGGUUUGCUAAGACCGAUGUGAAAUCCCCGGGCUCAACCUGGGAACUGCAUUGGUGACUGGCAGGCUAGAGUAUGGCAGAGGGGGGUAGAAUUCCACGUGUAGCAGUGAAAUGCGUAGAGAUGUGGAGGAAUACCGAUGGCGAAGGCAGCCCCCUGGGCCAAUACUGACGCUCAUGCACGAAAGCGUGGGGAGCAAACAGGAUUAGAAACCCCGGUAGUCCCAUG